rnacentral:misc_RNA from 1 species
AAUCCUCAAAACCCUUUUUCUUGUUAUCGGAAUCGGGGUUUUGGACUUGGAGGCUCAAUGCUCGCUUUUGCUUUCGAAAGCGAGCUCCUCUUAAAUGAAUUAGUGGGGUCCGCUUUGUCGAUCCUUGACGUGAUAAGAUGUUUCUACGUUUUGGAUUUGGCACCGUUUUCUCCGCUCCUAACCGUCCGUCCCAUGGACAACGAUGGUGCUUCGGUCCCUGCCGUCUACUUUGGCGGGAGGCUGGGCCCACAAAAACGA